rnacentral:rRNA from 1 species
CCUACGGGAGGCAGCAGUGGGGAAUAUUGCACAAUGGGCGGAAGCCUGAUGCAGCGAUGCCGCGUGGAGGAAGAAGGCCUUCGGAUUUUAAACUCCUUUUAUCAGGGACGAUAAUGACGGUACCUGUAGAAAAAGCUCCGGCUAACUACGUGCCAGCAGCCGCGGUAAUACGGAGGGAGCGAGCGUUGUCCGGAAUUACUGGGUGUAAAGGGGGCGUAGGCGGGACGGCAAGUCAGAUGGGAAAACUGAGGGCUCAACCUUCAGACUGCAUUUGAAACUGCCGUUCUUGAGUGAAGUAGAGGUAAGCGGAAUUCGUGGUGUAGCGGUGAAAUGCGUAGAUAUUAGGAGGAACAUCGGUGGCGAAGGCGGCUUACUGGGCUUUUACUGACGCUGAGGCUCGAAAGCGUGGGGAGCAAACAGGAUUAGAUACCCGUGUAGUC